rnacentral:rRNA from 1 species
GGCGGCAGCUUACACACUGCAAGUCGAACGCUAUUUUAUAGCAGUGGCGCACGCGGUGAGUAACGCGUGGGAAUCUGCCCUUCUGCCUGGGAUAACAGCUGGAAACGGUUGCUAAUACCGGAUACGCCCUUCGGGGGAAAGGUCCGCCGCAGAAGGAGGAGCCCGCGUCUGAUUAGCUUGUUGGUAGGGUAAUGGCCUACCAAGGCGACGAUCAGUAGCUGGUCUGAGAGGAUGAUCAGCCACACUGGGACUGAGACACGGCCCAGACUCCUACGGGAGGCAGCAGUGGGGAAUAUUGGACAAUGGGGGCAACCCUGAUCCAGCAAUGCCGCGUGUGUGAUGAAGGCCUUAGGGUUGUAAAGCACUUUCACUGGUGAAGAUGAUGACGGUAACCAGAGAAGAAGCCCCGGCUAACUUCGUGCCAGCAGCCGCGGUAAUACGAAGGGGGCGAGCGUUGUUCGGAAUUACUGGGCGUAAAGGGAGCGCAGGCGGUUCAUUAAGUUAGGCGUGAAAGCCCCGGGCUCAACCUGAGAACUGCGCUUAAUACUGAUGAACUAGAAAACAGGAGAGGGUAGUGGAAUUUCCAGUGUAGAGGUGAGAUUCGUAGAUAUUGGAAAGAACACCGGUGGCGAAAGCGGCUACUUGGCCUGAUUUUGACGCUGAGGCUCGAAAGCGUGGGGAGCAACAGGAUUAGAUCCCUGGUGUUCACGCCGUGAACAUGACGGUUGAUUCUGGGGGUGCCC